CAUUGGAAAUACCCCCAAGCCUUGUCUUUAUCUGUCAACUCCUCCAAAAUGUCAAAACACAAACAAGUUAACUCUUUCGUAAAUUUUCAACCAUCAAUUUUUUAUUCACCCAGCCUAAAAGUCCUGAUUAUCAGUUCUGGGUCCCUGGCAAUGACUGUUGGGUACAAACUGCAAAGCUUUGUUCUGCAGGUAGGGCUGGGCUUUUCAUUGACCAUGGGUUGGAAUAGUUCUGUGGGCAUAGUGUGUCUUCGAAGCCACUAUGUUUUCUGCACUUGUGACUAGAGAGCACCUUGAUAGCUCAGUUGGUAGAGCGGUGGACUGUAAGAUGCUCCUUGUGUGAAACGCUGUGAUCCUAAGGCCGCUGGUUCAACUCCAGCUCCAAGCACGUCAUUGGAAAUACCCCCAAGCCUUGUCUUUAUCUGUCAACUCCUCCAAAAUGUCAAAACACAAACAAGAUAACUCUUUCGUAAAUUUUCAACCAUCAAUUUUUUAUUCACCCAGCCUAAAAGUCCUGAUUAUCAGUUCUGGGUCCCUGGCAAUGACUGUUGGGUACAAACUGCAAAGCUUUGUUCUGCAGGUAGGGCUGGGCUUUUCAUUGACCAUGGGUUGGAAUAGUUCUGUGGGAAUAGUGUGUCUUUGAAGCCACUAUGUUUUCUGCAUUUGUGACUAGAGACCACCUUGAUAGCUCAGUUGGUAGAGCUGUGGACUGUAAGAUGCUCCUUGUGUGAAACGCUGUGAUCCUAAGGCCGCUGGUUCAACUCCAGCUCCAAGCACGUCAUUGGAAAUACCCCCAAGCCUUGUCUUUAUCUGUCAACUCCUCCAAAAUGUCAAAACACAAACAAGAUAACUCUUUCUUAAAUUUUCAACCAUCAAUUUUUUAUUCACCCAGCCUAAAAGUCCUGAUUAUCAGUUCUGGGUCCCUGGCAAUGACUGUUGGGUACAAACUGCAAAGCUUUGUUCUGCAGGUAGGGCUGGGCUUUUCAUUGACCAUGGGUUGGAAUAGUUCUGUGGGCAUAGUGUGUCUUCGAAGCCACUAUGUUUUCUGCACUUGUGACUAGAGAGCACCUUGAUAGCUCAGUUGGUAGAGCGGUGGACUGUAAGAUGCUCCUUGUGUGAAACGCUGUGAUCCUAAGGCCGCUGGUUCAACUCCAGCUCCAAGCACGUCAUUGGAAAUACCCCCAAGCCUUGUCUUUAUCUGUCAACUCCUCCAAAAUGUCAAAACACAAACAAGAUAACUCUUUCGUAAAUUUUCAACCAUCAAUUUUUUAUUCACCCAGCCUAAAAGUCCUGAUUAUCAGUUCUGGGUCCCUGGCAAUGACUGUUGGGUACAAACUGCAAAGCUUUGUUCUGCAGGUAGGGCUGGGCUUUUCAUUGACCAUGGGUUGGAAUAGUUCUGUGGGAAUAGUGUGUCUUUGAAGCCACUAUGUUUUCUGCAUUUGUGACUAGAGACCACCUUGAUAGCUCAGUUGCUAGAGCUGUGGACUGUAAGAUGCUCCUUGUGUGAAACGCUGUGAUCCUAAGGCCGCUGGUUCAACUCCAGCUCCAAGCACGUCAUUGGAAAUACCCCCAAGCCUUGUCUUUAUCUGUCAACUCCUCCAAAAUGUCAAAACACAAACAAGAUAACUCUUUCUUAAAUUUUCAACCAUCAAUUUUUUAUUCACCCAGCCUAAAAGUCCUGAUUAUCAGUUCUGGGUCCCUGGCAAUGACUGUUGGGUACAAACUGCAAAGCUUUGUUCUGCAGGUAGGGCUGGGCUUUUCAUUGACCAUGGGUUGGAAUAGUUCUGUGGGCAUAGUGUGUCUUCGAAGCCACUAUGUUUUCUGCACUUGUGACUAUAGAGCACCUUGAUAGCUCAAUUGGUAGAGCGGUGGACUGUAAGAUGCUCCUUAUGUGAAACGCUGUGAUCCUAAGGUCGCUGGUUCAACUCCAGCUCCAAGCAUCUCCUUGUCAUUGGAAAUACCCCCAAGCCUUGUCUUUAUCUGUCAACUCCUCCAAAAUGUCAAAACACAAACAAGAUAACUCUUUCUUAAAUUUUCAACCAUCAAUUUUUUAUUCACCCAGCCUAAAAGUCCUGAUUAUCAGUUCUGGGUCCCUGGCAAUGACUGUUGGGUACAAACUGCAAAGCUUUGUUCUGCAGGUAGGGCUGGGCUUUUCAUUGACCAUGGGUUGGAAUAGUUCUGUGGGCAUAGUGUGUCUUCGAAGCCACUAUGUUUUCUGCAUUUGUGACUAGAGACCACCUUGAUAGCUCAGUUGGUAGAGCUGUGGACUGUAAGAUGCUCCUUGUGUGAAACGCUGUGAUCCUAAGGCCGCUGGUUCAACUCCAGCUCCAAGCACGUCAUUGGAAAUACCCCCAAGCCUUGUCUUUAUCUGUCAACUCCUCCAAAAUGUCAAAACACAAACAAGAUAACUCUUUCUUAAAUUUUCAACCAUCAAUUUUUUAUUCACCCAGCCUAAAAGUCCUGAUUAUCAGUUCUGGGUCCCUGGCAAUGACUGUUGGGUACAAACUGCAAAGCUUUGUUCUGCAGGUAGGGCUGGGCUUUUCAUUGACCAUGGGUUGGAAUAGUUCUGUGGGCAUAGUGUGUCUUCGAAGCCACUAUGUUUUCUGCACUUGUGACUACAGAGCACCUUGAUAGCUCAGUUGGUAGAGCGGUGGACUGUAAGAUGCUCCUUGUGUGAAACGCUGUGAUCCUAAGGUCGCUGGUUCAACUCCAGCUCCAAGCGCCUCCUUGUCAUUGGAAAUACCCCCAAGCCUUGUCUUUAUCUGUCAACUCCUCCAAAAUGUCAAAACACAAACAAGUUAACUCUUUCGUAAAUUUUCAACCAUCAAUUUUUUAUUCACCCAGCCUUAAAGUCCUGAUUAUCAGUUCUGGGUCCCUGGCAAUGACUGUUGGGUACAAACUGCAAAGCUUUGUUCUGCAGGUAGGGCUGGGCUUUUCAUUGACCAUGGGUUGGAAUAGUUCUGUGGGCAUAGUGUGUCUUUGAAGCCACUAUGUUUUCUGCACUUGUGACUAGAGAGCACCUUGAUAGCUCAGUUGGUAGAGCGGUGGACUGUAAGAUGCUGCUUGUUUGAAACGCUGUGAUCCUAAGGUCGCUGGUUCAACUCCAGCUCCAAGCACAUCAGUGGAAAUACCCCCAAGCCUUGUCUUUAUCUGUCAACUCCUCCAAAAUGUCAAAACACAAACAAGAUAACUUUUUUUAAAAUUUUCAACCAUCAAUUUUUUAUUCACCCAGCCUAAAAGUCCUGAUUAUCAGUUCUGGGUCCCUGGCAAUGACUGUUGGGUACAAACUGCAAAGCUUUGUUCUGCAGGUAGGGCUGGGCUUUUCAUUGACCAUGGGUUGGAAUAGUUCUGUGGGCAUAGUGUGUCUUCGAAGCCACUAUGUUUUCUGCACUUGUGACUAGAGAGCACCUUGAUAGCUCAGUUGGUAGAGCGGUGGACUGUAAGAUGCUCCUUGUGUGAAACGCUGUGAUCCUAAGGCCGCUGGUUUAACUCCAGCUCCAAGCACCUCCUUGUCAUUGGAAAUACCCCCAAGCCUUGUCUUUAUCUGUCAACUCCUCCAAAAUGUCAAAACACAAACAAGUUAACUCUUUCGUAAAUUUUCAACCAUCAAUUUUUUAUUCACCCAGCCUAAAAGUCCUGAUUAUCAGUUCUGGGUCCCUGGCAAUGACUGUUGGGUACAAACUGCAAAGCUUUGUUCUGCAGGUAGGGCUGGGCUUUUCAUUGACCAUGGGUUGGAAUAGUUCUGUGGGCAUAGUGUGUCUUCGAAGCCACUAUGUUUUCUGCACUUGUGACUAGAGAGCACCUUGAUAGCUCAGUUGGUAGAGCGGUGGACUGUAAGAUGCUCCUUGUGUGAAACGCUGUCAUCCUAAGGUCGCUUGUUCAACUCCAGCUCCAAGCACCUCCUUGUCAUUGGAAAUACCCCCAAGCCUUGUCUUUAUCUGUCAACUCCUCCAAAAUGUCAAAACACAAACAAGAUAACUCUUUCUUAAAUUUUCAACCAUCAAUUUUUUAUUCACCCAGCCUAAAAGUCCUGAUUAUCAGUUCUGGGUCCCUGGCAAUGACUGUUGGGUACAAACUGCAAAGCUUUGUUCUGCAGGUAGGGCUGGGCUUUUCAUUGACCAUGGGUUGGAAUAGUUCUGUGGGCAUAGUGUGUCUUCGAAGCCACUAUGUUUUCUGCACUUGUGACUAGAGAGCACCUUGAUAGCUCAGUCGGUAGAGCGGUGGACUGUAAGAUGCUCCUUGUGUGAAACCCUGUGAUCCUAAGGUCGCUGGUUCAACUCCAUCUCCAAGCACGUCAUUGGAAAUACCCCCAAGCCUUGUCUUCAUCUGUCAACUCCUCCAAAAUGUCAAAACACAAACAAGAUAACUCUUUCUUAAAUUUUCAACCAUCAAUUUUUUAUUCACCCAGCCUAAAAGUCCUGAUUAUCAGUUCUGGGUCCCUGGCAAUGACUGUUGGGUACAAACUGCAAAGCUUUGUUCUGCAGGUAGGGCUGGGCUUUUCAUUGACCAUGGGUUGGAAUAGUUCUGUGGGCAUAGUGUGUCUUCGAAGCCACUAUGUUUUCUGCACUUGUGACUACAGAGCACCUUGAUAGCUCAGUUGGUAGAGCGGUGGACUGUAAGAUGCUCCUUGUGUGAAACGCUGUGAUCCUAAGGUCGCUGGUUCAACUCCAGCUCCAAGCGCCUCCUUGUCAUUGGAAAUACCCCCAAGCCUUGUCUUUAUCUGUCAACUCCUCCAAAAUGUCAAAACACAAACAAGUUAACUCUUUCGUAAAUUUUCAACCAUCAAUUUUUUAUUCACCCAGCCUUAAAGUCCUGAUAAACACAAACAAGAUAACUCUUUCUUAAAUUUUCAACCAUCAAUUUUUUAUUCACCCAGCAUUAAAGUCCUGAUUAUCAGUUCUGGGUCCCUGGCAAUGACUGUUGGGUACAAACUGCAAAGCUUUGUUCUGCAGGUAGGGCUGGGCUUUUCAUUGACCAUGGGUUGGAAUAGUUCUGUGGGCAUAGUGUGUCUUCGAAGCCACUAUGUUUUCUGCACUUGUGACUAGAGAGCACCUUGAUAGCUCAGUCGGUAGAGCGGUGGACUGUAAGAUGCUCCUUGUGUGAAACCCUGUGAUCCUAAGGUCGCUGGUUCAACUCCAUCUCCAAGCACGUCAUUGGAAAUACCCCCAAGCCUUGUCUUUAUCUGUCAACUCCUCCAAAAUGUCAAAACACAAACAAGAUAACUCUUUCUUAAAUUUUCAACCAUCAAUUUUUUAUUCACCCAGCCUAAAAGUCCUGAUUAUCAGUUCUGGGUCCCUGGCAAUGACUGUUGGGUACAAACUGCAAAGCUUUGUUCUGCAGGUAGGGCUGGGCUUUUCAUUGACCAUGGGUUGGAAUAGUUCUGUGGGCAUAGUGUGUCUUCGAAGCCACUAUGUUUUCUGCACUUGUGACUACAGAGCACCUUGAUAGCUCAGUUGGUAGAGCGGUGGACUGUAAGAUGCUCCUUGUGUGAAACGCUGUGAUCCUAAGGUCGCUGGUUCAACUCCAUCUCCAAGCACGUCAUUGGAAAUACCCCCAAGCCUUGUCUUUAUCCGUCAAAACACAAACAAGAUAACUCUUUCUUAAAUUUUCAACCAUCAAUUUUUUAUUCACCCAGCCUAAAAGUCCUGAUUAUCAGUUCUGGGUCCCUGGCAAUGACUGUUGGGUACAAACUGCAAAGCUUUGUUCUGCAGGUAGGGCUGGGCUUUUCAUUGACCAUGGGUUGGAAUAGUUCUGUGGGCAUAGUGUGUCUUCGAAGCCACUAUGUUUUCUGCAUUUGUGACUAGAGACCACCUUGAUAGCUCAGUUGGUAGAGCUGUGGACUGUAAGAUGCUCCUUGUGUGAAACGCUGUGAUCCUAAGGCCGCUGGUUCAACUCCAGCUCCAAGCACGUCAUUUGAAAUACCCCCAAGCCUUGUCUUUAUCUGUCAACUCCUCCAAAAUGUCAAAACACAAACAAGAUAACUCUUUCUUAAAUUUUCAACCAUCAAUUUUUUAUUCACCCAGCCUAAAAGUCCUGAUUAUCAGUUCUGGGUCCCUGGCAAUGACUGUUGGGUACAAACUGCAAAGCUUUGUUCUGCAGGUAGGGCUGGGCUUUUCAUUGACCAUGGGUUGGAAUAGUUCUGUGGGCAUAGUGUGUCUUCGAAGCCACUAUGUUUUCUGCAUUUGUGACUAGAGACCACCUUGAUAGCUCAGUUGGUAGAGCUGUGGACUGUAAGAUGCUCCUUGUGUGAAACGCUGUGAUCCUAAGGCCGCUGGUUCAACUCCAGCUCCAAGCACGUCAUUGGAAAUACCCCCAAGCCUUGUCUUUAUCUGUCAACUCCUCCAAAAUGUCAAAACACAAACAAGAUAACUCUUUCUUAAAUUUUCAACCAUCAAUUUUUUAUUCACCCAGCCUAAAAGUCCUGAUUAUCAGUUCUGGGUCCCUGGCAAUGACUGUUGGGUACAAACUGCAAAGCUUUGUUCUGCAGGUAGGGCUGGGCUUUUCAUUGACCAUGGGUUGGAAUAGUUCUGUGGGCAUAGUGUGUCUUCGAAGCCACUAUGUUUUCUGCACUUGAGACUAGAGACCACCUUGAUAGCUCAGUUGGUAGAGCGGUGGACUGUAAGAUGCUCCUUGUGUGAAACGCUGUGAUCCUAAGGUCGCUGGUUCAACUCCAGCUCCAAGCACGUCAUUGGAAAUACCCCCAAGCCUUGUCUUUAUCUGUCAACUCCUCCAAAAUGUCAAAACACAAACAAGAUAACUCUUUCUUAAAUUUUCAACCAUCAAUUUUUUAUUCACCCAGCCUAAAAGUCCUGAUUAUCAGUUCUGGGUCCCUGGCAAUGACUGUUGGGUACAAACUGCAAAGCUUUGUUCUGCAGGUAGGGCUGGGCUUUUCAUUGACCAUGGGUUGGAAUAGUUCUGUGGGCAUAGUGUGUCUUCGAAGCCACUAUGUUUUCUGCACUUGUGACUAGAGAGCACCUUGAUAGCUCAUUUGGUAGAGCGUUGGACUGUAAGAUGCUCCUUGUGUGAAACGCUGUGAUCCUAAGGUCGCUGGUUCAACUCCAGCUCCAAGCACCUCCUUGUCAUUAGAAAUACCCUCAAGCCUUGUCUUUAUCUGUCAACUCCUCCAAAAUGUCAAAACACAAACAAGAUAACUCUUUCUUAAAUUUUCAACCAUCAAUUUUUUAUUCACCCAGCCUAAAAGUCCUGAUUAUCAGUUCUGGGUCCCUGGCAAUGACUGUUGGGUACAAACUGCAAAGCUUUGUUCUGCAGGUAGGGCUGGGCUUUUCAUUGACCAUGGGUUGGAAUAGUUCUGUGGGCAUAGUGUGUCUUCGAAGCCACUAUGUUUUCUGCACUUGUGACUAGAGAGCACCUUGAUAGCUCAGUUGGUAGAGCGGUGGACUGUAAGAUGCUCCUUGUGUGAAACGCUGUGAUCCUAAGGUCGCUGGUUCAACUCCAGCUCCAAGCACCUCCUUUUCAUUGGAAAUACCCCCAAGCCUUGUCUUUAUCUGUCAACUCCUCCAAAAUGUCAAAACACAAACAAGAUAACUCUUUCUUAAAUUUUCAACCAUCAAUUUUUUAUUCACCCAGCCUAAAAGUCCUGAUUAUCAGUUCUGGGUCCCUGGCAAUGACUGUUGGGUACAAACUGCAAAGCUUUGUUCUUCAGGUAGGGCUGGGCUUUUCAUUGACCAUGGGUUGGAAUAGUUCUGUGGGCAUAGUGUGUCUUCGAAGCCACUAUGUUUUCUGCACUUGUGACUAUACAGCACCUUGAUAGCUCAGUUGGUAGAGCGGUGGACUGUAAGAUGCUCCUUGUGUUAAACGCUGUGAUCCUAAGGUCGCUAGUUCAACUCCAGCUCCAAUCACGUCAUUGGAAAUACCCCCAAGCCUUGUCUUUAUCUGUCAACUCCUCCAAAAUGUCAAAACACAAACAAGAUAACUCUUUCUUAAAUUUUCAACCAUCAAUUUUUUAUUCACCCAGCCUAAAAGUCCUGAUUAUCAGUUCUGGGUCCCUGGCAAUGACUGUUGGGUACAAACUGCAAAGCUUUGUUCUGCAGGUAGGGCUGGGCUUUUCAUUGACCAUGGGUUGGAAUAGUUCUGUGGGCAUAGUGUGUCUUCGAAGCCACUAUGUUGUCUGCACUUGUGACUAUAGAGCACCUUGAUAGCUCAGUUGGUAGAGCGGUGGACUGUAAGAUGUUCCUU